ACUCUAGUCUUUCUUUUGAUUUUCCAGCUACUAGAUAUGAUUAAACCUGUAAUAAAUGGAGUGAAGCCUCUAUAUUACAUUCUCCAGGGAGUUUUUUGUGGUAAUUUAUUAAAUAAAAAGAUAAAUUCUGUUGGGCUAAUAUAUUUGUUUUAAUUGAGCUUUGAGGGUGUUGUACAUUUGAAUGACUUUUACCCAGUAGAUACUGAAAUAUGUUUUUUAAUUAUAAGUUUGGUGUACAUAUGUGGGAAACCAGCAAAGUUCCAUAUAGUAUAGUCUUGGCUUAGUGAGAUAAAAGUUAUAGAAGAGGACAUUGGAAAUCUAGCCACACUGUGGCUAAUAGGCUUGGUUCUCUGAAAUAAAAGUAUAAUUCAGGGCCAAUAAUGUGGAAGGCAUUGAGAAGCAUAUCCACCAAGGAGCAACAUUAUGGUCAUUUUGUCUUUGUUAUUACUUACUGCUUUAUUCUGAGAACAAUACAGGCAUUAAAGUUCUAGAAGCUUCACAGAUCAUUAAUCAUCAACAUAAAUUCAGUGAAUUAGAAUUCUUUCUUCAAAAGUAUGUGUCAACUUCAGAUUGCAGAUUUGCCAAAGCUUCAUGUAGAGCCCUUCUCUCUUUUAUCACGAGUAAAAGUUCAGGUUUAAAAUAGAACAACGGAUGACUAAUGCCAUUUCCAGCUGUGACUGAAUUCUCCACUGCCUGAUGCUUUUCAAAUGUAUCUGAAUCAGAAUCGAACACCCACUUUAUGCAUAGCUCCCUAAUCAGGAAGUUAUUCUUCCCAUCAAAGCAACUGGAAAGAAAAAAGAUAAAACAAUGAAGGGAGGAGAAAACACAAAAGUUCAAGAAGAGCAGAAUGUUCCGGCAAGGAGAAAAAGCUGGGAAAAGUCACCAAUGAAUGCCAGGGUUCACCACUAUCUUAGGAAUAUCAUGAAUAAAGCGUUAGAUUGGGUGUGCCCUAACUGAUGGUCACAAGCAUGAUACUAAUUAUCAGGGUGAACAAAGCAGGGGAGUAAGAGCAUCAGUAACUGUGAAACUCUAGGAGUUUGUCUUCAUUCUUUCAGUGAUAGACAGGGUCUCACACUGUCACUUAGGCUGGAGCACAGUGUGACAACAGCUGACUGCAGCCUCAAACUCCUGGUCUUAAGUGAUUCUUCCCACCUCGGCCUCCUGAGUAGCUGGAAUUACAGGCAUGAGCCACGGCAUCCAGCCAUAAACUCUUUUGUCACCAUUUUUCUAGAGUCAAUAUCUAGCAUUUGUAUUUCGUACAUCAUACACUUGAGUUAGUAUCUGUGGAAAGGAUAAAUACAUAAGGAAAAGAGAUGCAGGAAGCUGCAGAGACACUGGCCAUUUAUCUGAGAAGUGCCCAAUGAGGCAUCACCGGAUAAGCACACGUCGGGUCGUUCUCCUGCUUCAGUAAGGUCUGUGGCGUUGACAUUAUCAAUGCUAUGGAUGCCUCAAGGCUCUCAUAAAAAUACAUGGCUUCAGCAAUACGCAUGCAGUUAUCUCAGUUUAAAGCAGCCACUAAUCUCAAUUGAAUGCAGCUGUGAAUGCAAAUUGACUGAUGUUAACAGAACUGCUCUGAGAGUUCUCAAAUAAUAUGAGGGUGCAUAGUGUGGAAGGCAGUCACUAAGUUUGGUCUAAUGGAGACCACAUACGAAGAUCUAAUUCAACACCAUGAGUUACCCCCAGAAGUUAAAUAGGUCCCUAAUUCAGCCUGCUGCAUAAGGUUGUAUCAUAAAAGAGAAAUGGGUUCUGCUCCCUGCUUAAUAAGAAAUCCUGCUUACUUCUCCAGCUUUUGAAGCACAGGUUUUAUGUUUGUUUGGGAUAGAAUCUCAUUCUGUCACCCAGGCCAGAGAGCACUGACAUUAUCAUGGCUCACUGCAACCUCAAACUCCCAAGCUCAAGCGAUCCUCCCACCUCAGCCUCCCAAGUAGCUGGGACCACAGAUUCACCUGUUUGCUUCCUAAGACAGAAAAUAAAUAGGAGGAAAAGGAUCAGAGUCAAAAUUCUGAGAAAAAAAAAAAAUCUGGGCCAUCCAUCCAUCACAAGUGUUCCAAGUAGAAGAAUCCCCUGUAAAAGGAGAUGAGCAUGUUCAAGUAUUAAGCACUUAAAAUGAAGAUUAUGUUUGGAAAUCAAAAUAUAAUUUUGAUAACCCAUUAAAAGUAAUGAAAUGGAGAAAACAA
rnacentral:lncRNA from 1 species